UUUAUGGAGAGUUUGAUCCUGGCUCAGGACGAACGCUGGCGGCGUGCCUAAUACAUGCAAGUCGAGCGGACUUGAUGGAGUGCUUGCACUCCUGAUGGUUAGCGGCGGACGGGUGAGUAACACGUAGGUAACCUGCCUGUAAGACUGGGAUAACAUUCGGAAACGAAUGCUAAUACCGGAUACGCGAAUUG
rnacentral:rRNA from 1 species